UAGCUGCACUAAAUACCGGAUGUGCCUAAGGGUGAAAGAUUUAUUACCUGAAGAUGAGCUCGCGUCUGAUUAGCUAGUUGGUGGGGUAAGAGCUUACCAAGGCAACGAUCAGUAGCUGGUCUGAGAGGAUGAUCAGCCACACUGGGACUGAGACACGGCCCAGACUCCUACGGGAGGCAGCAGUGGGGAAUUUUCCGCAAUGGGCGAAAGCCUGACGGAGCAAUACCGCGUGAGGGAGGAAGGCUUUUGGGUUGUAAACCUCUUUUCUCAAGGAAGAAUAAAUGACGGUACUUGAGGAAUCAGCAUCGGCUAACUCCGUGCCAGCAGCCGCGGUAAUACGGAGGAUGCAAGCGUUAUCCGGAAUGAUUGGGCGUAAAGCGUCCGCAGGUGGUGAUGCAAGUCUGCUGUUAAAGAGUGAGGCUCAACCUCAUAAUGGCGGUGGAAACUGCGUGACUAGAGUACGUUCGGGGCAGAGGGAAUUCCUGGUGUAGCGGUGAAAUGCGUAGAUAUCAGGAAGAACACCGGUGGCGAAAGCGCUCUGCUAGGCCGUAACUGACACUGAGGGACGAAAGCUAGGGGAGCGAAUGGGAUUAGAUACCCCAGUAGUCAAG
rnacentral:rRNA from 2 species